rnacentral:rRNA from 1 species
GGGGAAACCCAGGCUAAUACCGCAUACGUCCUACGGGAGAAAGGGGGCUUCGGCUCUCGCUAUUGGAUGAGCCUAUGUCGGAUUAGCUAGUUGGUGAGGUAAUGGCUCACCAAGGCAACGAUCCGUAGCUGGUCUGAGAGGAUGAUCAGCCACAUCGGGACUGAGACACGGCCCGAACUCCUACGGGAGGCAGCAGUGGGGAAUAUUGGACAAUGGGCGAAAGCCUGAUCCAGCCAUGCCGCGUGUGUGAAGAAGGCCCUCGGGUUGUAAAGCACUUUCAGCGAGGAAGAACGCCUAGUGGUUAAUACCCAUUAGGAAAGACAUCACUCGCAGAAGAAGCACCGGCUAACUCCGUGCCAGCAGCCGCGGUAAUACGGAGGGUGCAAGCGUUAAUCGGAAUUACUGGGCGUAAAGCGCGCGUAGGUGGCUUGAUAAGCCGGUUGUGAAAGCCCCGGGCUCAACCUGGGAACGGCAUCCGGAACUGUCAAGCUAGAGUGCAGGAGAGGAAGGUAGAAUUCCCGGUGUAGCGGUGAAAUGCGUAGAGAUCGGGAGGAAUACCAGUGGCGAAGGCGGCCUUCUGGACUGACACUGACACUGAGGUGCGAAAGCGUGGGUAGCAAACAGGAUUAGAUACCCUGGUAGUCCACGCCGUAAACGAUGUCGACCAGCCGUUGGGUGCCUAGCGCACUUUGUGGCGAAGUUAACGCGAUAAGUCGACCGCCUGGGGAGUACGGCCGCAAGGUUAAAACUCAAAUGAAUUGACGGGGGCCCGCACAAGCGGUGGAGCAUGUGGUUUAAUUCGAUGCAACGCGAAGAACCUUACCUACUCUUGACAUCCUGCGAACUUGUGAGAGAUCACUUGGUGCCUUCGGGAACGCAGAGACAGGUGCUGCAUGGCUGUCGUCAGCUCGUGUUGUGAAAUGUUGGGUUAAGUCCCGUAACGAGCGCAACCCUUGUCCUUAUUUGCCAGCGGGUAAUGCCGGGAACUCUAAGGAGACUGCCGGUGACAAACCGGAGGAAGGUGGGGACGACGUCAAGUCAUCAUGGCCCUUACGAGUAGGGCUACACACGUGCUACAAUGGCCGGUACAAAGGGUUGCGAGCUCGCGAGAGUCAGCUAAUCCCGAAAAGCCGGUCUCAGUCCGGAUCGGAGUCUGCAACUCGACUCCGUGAAGUCGGAAUCGCUAGUAAUCGUGAAUCAGAAUGUCACGGUGAAUACGUUCCCGGGCCUUGUACAC